rnacentral:rRNA from 1 species
UACGAAGGGGGCUAGCGUUGCUCGGAAUUACUGGGCGUAAAGGGCGCGUAGGCGGAUAGUUUAGUCAGAGGUAAAAGCCCAGGGCUCAACCUUGGAACUGCCUUUGAUACUGGCUAUCUUGAGUACGGGAGAGGUGUGUGGAACUCCGAGUGUAGAGGUGAAAUUCGUAGAUAUUCGGAAGAACACCAGUGGCGAAGGCGACACACUGGCCCGUUACUGACGCUGAGGCGCGAAAGCUAGGGGAGCAAACGGG